CGGGGCGUGGCGCAGCCUGGUAGCGCACCUGCUUUGGGAGCAGGGGGCCCCCGGUUCAAAUCCGGGCGCCCCGACCA
rnacentral:tRNA from 1 species